UCAAGUAAUUAAGUGCAUGUGGUGGAUGCCUUGGCAGUCAGAGGCGAUGAAAGACGUAAUAGCCUGCGAUAAGCUCCGGGGAGGCGGCAAAUAUCCUUUGAUCCGGAGAUUUCUGAAUGGGGGAACCCACCUACUUUAAGGUAGGUAUUGCAACAUGAAUACAUAGUGUUGCAAGGCGAACGAGGGGAAGUGAAACAUCUCAGUACCCUUAGGAAAAGAAAUCAAUUGAGAUUCCCUUAGUAGCGGCGAGCGAACGGGGAUCAGCCCAUUAAGUUAUGUGUGUUUUAGUGGAACGCUCUGGGAAGUGCGAACGUAGAGGGUGAUAUUCCCGUACACGAAAGGGCACACAUAAUGAUGACGAGUAGGGCGAGGCACGUGAAACCUUGUCUGAAUAUGGGGGGACCAUCCUCCAAGGCUAAAUACUCCUGACUGACCGAUAGUGAACCAGUACCGUGAGGGAAAGGCGAAAAGAACCCCUGUGAGGGGAGUGAAAUAGAUCCUGAAACCGCAUGCAUACAAGCAGUGGGAGCCGACUUGUUCGGUGACUGCGUACCUUUUGUAUAAUGGGUCAGCGACUUAUAUUCAGUAGCGAGGUUAACCGUAUAGGGGAGCCGUAGAGAAAUCGAGUCUUAAUAGGGCGUUUAGUUGCUGGGUAUAGACCCGAAACCAGGCGAUCUAUCCAUGAGCAGGUUGAAGGUUGGGUAACACUAACUGGAGGACCGAACCCACUGUCGUUGAAAAGCCAGGGGAUGACUUGUGGAUAGGGGUGAAAGGCUAAUCAAGCCUGGUGAUAGCUGGUUCUCCCCGAAAGCUAUUUAGGUAGCGCCUCGGACGAAUACCAUAGGGGGUAGAGCACUGUUUCGGCUAGGGGGUCAUCCCGACUUACCAAACCGAUGCAAACUCCGAAUACCUAUGAGUACUAUCCGGGAGACAGACUGCGGGUGCUAACGUCCGUAGUCAAGAGGAAAACAAUCCAGACCGCCAGCUAAGGCCCCAAAAUCAUAGUUAAGUGGGAAACGAUGUGGGAAGGCAUAGACAGCUAGGAGGUUGGCUUAGAAGCAGCCACCCUUUAAAGAAAGCGUAAUAGCUCACUAGUCGAGUCGGCCUGCGCGGAAGAUGUAACGGGGCUAAAACUAUGUGCCGAAGCUGCGGAUUUGACUUUUAAGUCAAGUGGUAGGGGAGCGUUCUGUAAGCCGAUGAAGGUGUAUUGAGAAGUAUGCUGGAGGUAUCAGAAGUGCGAAUGCUGACGUGAGUAACGACAAAACGGGUGAAAAACCCGUUCGCCGAAAGACCAAGGGUUCCAGUCCAACGUUAAUCGGGGCUGGGUGAGUCGACCCCUAAGGCGAGGCCGAAAGGCGUAGUCGAUGGGAAAUUGGUUAAUAUUCCAAUACUUCUGUGUAAUGCGAUGAGAGGACGGAGAAGGUUAAGUCAGCCUGGCGUUGGUUGUCCAGGUGAAAGGAAGUAGGC
rnacentral:rRNA from 1 species